rnacentral:rRNA from 1 species
UACGAAGGGGGCUAGCGUUGCUCGGAAUUACUGGGCGUAAAGCGCACGUAGGCGGCUCUUUAAGUCGGGGGUGAAAUCCUGGAGCUCAACUCCAGAACUGCCUUCGAUACUGUAGAGCUUGAGUUCGGGAGAGGUGAGUGGAACUGCGAGUGUAGAGGUGAAAUUCGUAGAUAUUCGCAAGAACACCAGUGGCGAAGGCGGCUCACUGGCCCGACACUGACGCUGAGGUGCGAAAGCGUGGGGAGCAAACAGG